GAUGGUGGAGUAGGGGAGGUCCUACCCGCAGAUGUAGGCUGGUUCCCACCGGAACGACACUUGCACCGACCCGUAUUGGGCAAUAAUUCUACAAGAGAUAUCAUAUAUAUAGAUCUGGACGUCCCGUUGUCAAAAUCAGACAAUCCAGGUCUAUAUCUGGAUCCAAAUGGUCCGCUGUCAACGUCGACCAUCCAGGUCUAUAUCUGGAUCCAAAUGGUCCGCUGUCAACGUCGGACCAUCCAGGUCUAUAUCUGGAUCCAAAUGGUCCGCUGUCAAAGUCGGACCAUCCAGGUCUAUAUCUGGAUCCGAAUCUGCCAUCAAGAGCGGGUGCAUACACAUAAUAUGAUGGUGGUGGCCUUUUUGGUAGUAGUGCGUUUCUUGAAGGUGGUGGAGGUGGUGGUGGCCUUUUUGGUACUAGUGUAUCUCUUGA
rnacentral:lncRNA from 1 species